CAGUAGCCGCGGUAGUACGAAGGGGGCUAGCGUUGUUCGGAAUCACUGGGCGUAAAGCGCACGUAGGCGGACACUUAAGUCAGAGGUGAAAUCCCAAGGCUCAACCUUGGAACUGCCUUUGUUACUGGGUGUCUUGAGUUCGGGAGAGGUGAGUGGAACUGCGAGUGUAGAGGUGAAAUUCGUAGAUAUUCGCAAGAACACCAGUGGCGAAGGCGGCUCACUGGCCCGAUACUGACGCUGAGGUGCGAAAGCGUGGGGAGCAAACAGGAUUAGAUACCCCUGUAGUCCCUGUCUCUUAUAC
rnacentral:rRNA from 1 species